GAUGAACGCUGGCGGCGUGCCUAAUACAUGCAAGUCGAGCGAACGGACGAGAAGCUUGCUUCUCUGAUGUUAGCGGCGGACGGGUGAGUAACACGUGGAUAACCUACCUAUAAGACUGGGAUAACUUCGGGAAACCGGAGCUAAUACCGGAUAAUAUUUUGAACCGCAUGGUUCAAAAGUGAAAGACGGUCUUGCUGUCACUUAUAGAUGGAUCCGCGCUGCAUUAGCUAGUUGGUAAGGUCACGGCUUACCAAGGCAACGUUGCAUAGCCGACCUGAUAGGGUGAGCGGCCGCACUGGAACUGUGACAGGCUACAGACGCAUACGGGAGGCGGCAGUAGGCAAUCGUCCGCAAUGGGCGGGAGCCUGACGGAGCAGCGCCGCGGGAGUGAGGAGGGUCUUCGGAUCCUAAAACUCUGUUAUUGGGGAAGAACAUAUUUGUAAGUAACUGUGCGCAUCUUGACGGUACCUGGUCAAAGAGCCACGGCUAACUACGUG
rnacentral:rRNA from 1 species